ensembl:lncRNA
GUAGAUAAUAAAUGAUAACAAUCAUUUGAAGUGCAUAUUUAUUUUUCUUUCUCCUCCUUUAUUCUCCACCCUGAUUAAAACUGACUCAGAACACUGACAAUAUGUCUCAUUGAGUGUGACAGCACCAUCCAGUGGCCAAACACCAAACACACCAGAGACAGUACUUUUACUGUCUUAACUGUCUAGUUUUAAUGAGCAGUAAAAUACAAAGAAUGCCAGGUGAGGAAAGUCCCCAAAAACACCCAUAGAUCUUGAGGGGUUAAGUGUGUGUUUAAAUGAUCUGAUAAUAGAAAGUUUUACUCAAACAUGUGACAAACAGGAAACCCACACACACACACACAUAAAGAGUUUUCAUACAGAGCUGGCCUCAAACUUACAAAUAAGGUGUCUGUGUCAUUUCCUUCAGGAACUUCUGCUAUCAGAUGGAUUAAGCAAUAAGCAAGAAAAAUCAAGAAGUGUUUUGAGAGAAGGAUGAAUUAUCCUUCUCUGUUAGGACUUUGUCUUGUGUUUCUUACUUGGGCUUCAGCUGGACCUCCUACAGCUGAGCCCUUGCUGAUGUUUGCCUUAGAAGGGGACACAGUUACUUUGCCUUGUGGUAUACCUUCUAUUAAAUCCUGCUCCUCUGUUAACUGGCUGAAGUACGGGCAGUAUGGAACCACUGCCAGUGUGGCAGAGGACCGCACACACGUCCUGCUGUGGGACUGCUCUCUGAAGAUCACUCACUCUGUGCUGGACGAUGCAUGCCUGUACUCCUGUGUGAGUGGAACACACAUUUCAAAUGUUUCACUCCAGAUUCUUAAUGUGACUGAGAGUUUACCUCGUAAGGAUGACAUUAUAGAGCUGCACUGCAUCCUCAAUACAUUUAAAGGAUAUGUCCCCUGUAAAAACAAAGAGAUCCUUAUUAAGUGGAGCGCUGAGGAUGAUACACCAAUAAGUGGAGACAGAUUUACAUUCGAAAAUUCAUCAGACUGCUUCUCUAAAUUGAUCAUAAAGGAAAAACAAACGGAUCAUCACAGAAAAUGGCAGUGCCAUCUAACUCAGAAUGGUGAAAUUAAAGCCACCAGCGUCUAUACAACAACUGUGACAGAUGGAUUACAGGAAGUGUUUGGUGCAGUGGGUGAGUCAGUGUCACUAUCUUGUGGCCACACUUCCUCUUAUGGAGUGGAGUGGGCAAAGUGUGAAAAGCCACUGAUGCAUGACAUCACAUCCGAUAUGGUACCACAAGACACUUCCUUGGUCAUUAGCAAACUGACUGCACUGCAUGCUGCAGAUUACAAGUGUUCAGAAGCCACAGGUCAGCAUAGUGUGCUCAAUAAAAUCAGGCUGCACACACUCGAUGUUACUGCAGAGUCUGCCCCAGACGGAGAAUAUCUCAACCUGACUUGUGUGCUUACUUGUGCAAAAGAAUGUGACAAAGACUUCAAUUUAAGCUGGUCUGGAGGUGACCAGAAAGCCCUGCAGAGCAGAUUAAUGCAGGUCAAUAACACCUUAAGAAAGGAGAUAUUUCUCCCAGACGGGUUAAAGAGGUGGGAUGAAAUAACCUGCUCUGUGCACAGAGAGGGGGCUCUGAUGGCAUCGAAGAAGUGGCGCACUGUUAACCCGCUGCAAACCCCUGCGUGGUUAGUGCUUCCUCUGGGCCUCCUGAUAUGUGUGGCUGCUGGAGUGGUUUACAUGAAGAGGAAGCACAACAAGGAUGCAGCAAAUGAACAGUCAAGUAUUGGGAUGACUCAUGUUUAUGAAGUGAUUCGUGCUGAAGAGGAACCACAACAGCAGAGACAAAGCAACACAGAUACAACCACAACAACCAGCUUAUAUCAUUUAUUGCAGGCUGUAAAUUAGAGUGAAAUUUUUCAUUUGCUUUUUGGAAAAAAAAAAUUACACAAUAUAGAAAAAUCCUGGAUCUAAAAACAUGCUGGGUCACACCUGUUUAUAUAUAUGAAUGUACUUCCUGUCCUACUGUUUCUUCUUCUCUCGCUCUAAAUGUUACAAAUUCCCUUGCUAUUCAUCCAUUCUCUAAUAAAAAGAAACUGUUUGUUUUAGCCUUUAGCAGUUUAUUAACCAUGUGUUUAAGGAAACUGAAACUUGAUCCAUAUAGAUCUGCCACAUCUGCCUGUGGAUGAAAAUCUGCAGCUCAACACGGGAACAUAAGUGUAUAACUGCACAUUCUUCUCUGUAUUGUGAUAUUCACUUCUAGUUAUUUUAAGUGCAAGCAUUCAGCACAGAAGCAACAAAAUGAUCAAUACGACAAUAGUAACUGAUAAUCCAGAAAACAGCACAAGUUGCAUACAAGCAUUUGACGAGACUAAAUGAUUAGUUCUGAUUUUAGGUUGCACAUUUCAACAUGAUAAAAUCAUCCAGAUUAGAUAAUCCAGUUGGGUUUAAUGAAGAUAAUCUUCUUUUUCUUGAGUAGUCUAAGAGUGACUAAAGCCGGACUGCAUAAAGGAGAAAAAGAACAUGACAAUAUGUCACAAUGGUAUGACCUAAACCAACGUGUACCCAUGACUUUAUGACAGUACUUACAAGUAUGCAAGCUUUCAUCUGGAAAUCUGUAUAUACUGUUGACUUUCUGAGCAUCUGCAAGAUAAAGAGAACCCUCAGUGAAGGGCUGCACAAAGCCAGGCGCAUGAAAACUAAAGAAGGCAAUGAGGAAAUAACUUGCAAUCACCACGUGAUGAUACCAAAUUCAGAGGCUCGUAACCGUCCUCAAUGCAACCUGAUUGACAAGAAACAACAUGAGAAGGAUUCAUGUGAUAACCGAGAGAACCGACAGAGAACAUUCAAACCUGUGGUGAGCAUCUGGGGUUGCAGCCUGGCUCUCUGAUUGUCACGUCUGCGUCUGUAAAUGAACAGUCCCGCCAGUGCAGCAAUCAGGAUGAUGCCAGAAAUGACUGAUGCCACAACUGCAGCCAACACGUCAUUGCUCCGCUCCUGCUCAUCAGUCCCAGCAAUCUGAUUGGCCGUCACUGUGGAGGGAGACAGGAAGGACAGUUACAAUUAUGAGACAUAAAUUAUGCAUAUUGAUAAGAAGCAUGUAUUUACAUACACACCUUGUUGAGUUUGUGUUGCAAUAACUGGGAUGGUUGUGAACGCAUGUUUCACUUUAUUGAAAGAAAAUGAAAAGGUACAUGAGUUAUAUGUCAUCAUGUGUUACUGUUAAUAAAACCAAAUAUAAUAAAAAUCUGACCUUGGACAAGCAGCUUGAUGUCAAAGCAGCGCCAGGUUUGUCCGUACAUAUAACUACAUCUGUACCAAGCACUGUCAGUGGUAUUCACAGACUGGAGAAGCAGUGAUGUGCCGUUCAUUUCAACCCUGUUAGAGUCCACAGACAUAGGGUGAUCUCCUCUCAGCUUUGCCCAGGAGACGUUGUAGAGUCCUUGCUGUCCCAGUGUUGUGUUAAAGGGACAGCUCAGGUGGACAGGUGUAGAGGGCUCUGCUUCCACUGGUGGAAGGGCUUUGCAGUCUGAAACAUCACAGCAUAAAAGUGACAUGUAAUUACAAAAUAAAGACAUAAAUGAAAGAUGAGAUAUAUUUACCUUUCACUUUUAGAGAUAUGUUCCUGAUGUGUAGAAGGUCCCAUCCUCGCCAUAUUUCACAGCUGUACCGGCCUUCAUCAGAUUUUUGUAACUUUGUUAGAAAAAGGCGACUUUGUCCUUUUAUAUCAGAUUCCCCUUGUGCAUGAUAGUCAGCACUGACUUUCUUUGGCCACAGAGAGAGGACCUUCUCCUGACUGGUACCUGCGCCAUGCUUUAUCCAUCUGACUCUGUAGCAGCUCUUUGGUUCCACCAGAGUUGAAUUUAAACAGGAGAGAGUUACAUCUUCCUCUUUAGAAGCUGACACAGUUUCAGUCACUGAGGAGACAACUUUAAAGCAAAGGUUAUAUAUAGACAGGUGAAGUAUAACCAGCGUAAUAAGCACAUAUCAUGCCUAAUACAUCAUUCAGUCAGAGCAGCAAAGCAGAUUUAUAGCAUUUAUUCUGAACACCUUUUGUCAAAUCAAGUUCAUUUUAUUUUUGUCAUUCGACAUGUUAAGAACAUGGAAGAACGAAAACUGUUGCCUGGGCCAGCUAUAGAACAGAUAAAAACAGAUAAUAGUAAUAAUAAAUACCUAAUAAUAAAUAAAGAAGUUAGAAGAAGUGCAGUGAGGUGCAGGAUGUACAGGGUUAAUUAUUAAAAUGAAGGUGUAAAUACAAUCUGAUUUAAAACAAGAAUGAUGCAUUGACACACUCACCUCUGCAUUCAGAUGUUACAAUCACCAGAAUAAAUAAAAGCUGGGUAAAGUGCUGCUCCAUUCUCUGUGCAAUGCAGUGAGACAAAGGAUGGUUCUCUCUUUUACCUUUUUUAGUGUGUCUCCACCAGUUCUUAGUUCCUUAAGUAACACAGAAGUCUCAAUAUGAAACCACCUGCCUGUUAGUGUUUCCUUUUUUUGUUUCCCUCAUUGUGUGAUCCACAGUGCCACCAUGUGGCAAAAACUGAAUAUGACACCACUGCUCACAAAGGUGCAAUGUGGCUGGACUGUAUACUUGGCCCUUACUGUGUGGCAUGGCGGUGCUGGGGGAAGGUACAGAGAAGGGUUAAACCUGUGAGCCAGCUGGGGUCCUUCUGUGUGGAGAUGGCCCACGUGGGACCUACUCGGUUCACUGGCAUCUUAGAAUGGUUAAUUGGUGAAUAUACUGGCCAUAGGAAUAGUUGUUUGUCUCAGUGUGGCCCUUUUGAUAGACUGGUGACCUGUUACAGCUGGGAUAAGCUGGAUGACCCCUGCAACCCUGUAAAGAAAAGGCAGGACAAUGAGUUAUUUAUCAGGUAUGUAUAUGUUUAAAAUGGAAUUGGAAGUGAAAGAUCUGCACUUAUUUCUUAUCUGAUUUCUGCCACUGAUGUGCCUUUG